rnacentral:rRNA from 1 species
ACGACGACGUUGAUAGGCCGGGUGUGUAAGCGCAGCGAUGCGUUGAGCUAACCGGUACUAAUGAACCGUGAGGCUUAACCUUAC